CCUACGGGACGCACCAGUGGGGAAUCUUGGACAAUGGGCGAAAGCCCGAUCCAGCAAUAUCGCGUGAGUGAAGAAGGGCAAUGCCGCGUGUGUGAAGAAGGUCUUCGGAUUGUAAAGCACUUUCGACGGGGACGAUGAUGACGUUACCCGCAGAAGAAGCACCGGCUAACUCCGUGCCAGCAGCCGCGGUAAUACGGAGGGUGCAAGCGUUAAUCGGAAUUACUGGGCGUAAAGCGCACGCAGGCGGUUUGUUAAGUCAGAUGUGAAAUCCCCGGGCUCAACCUGGGAACUGCAUCUGAUACUGGCAAGCUUGAGUCUCGUAGAGGGGGGUAGAAUUCCAGGUGUAGCGGUGAAAUGCGUAGAGAUCUGGAGGAAUACCGGUGGCGAAGGCGGCCCCCUGGACGAAGACUGACGCUCAGGUGCGAAAGCGUGGGGAGCAAACAGGAUUAGAUACCCGCGUAGUC
rnacentral:rRNA from 1 species